rnacentral:rRNA from 1 species
AACGAACGCUGGCGGCAUGCCUAACACAUGCAAGUCGAACGAGACCUUCGGGUCUAGUGGCGCACGGGUGCGUAACGCGUGGGAAUCUGCCCCUGGGUUCGGAAUAACAGUUGGAAACGACUGCUAAUACCGGAUGAUGACGUAAGUCCAAAGAUUUAUCGCCCAAGGAUGAGCCCGCGUAGGAUUAGCUAGUUGGUGAGGUAAAGGCUCACCAAGGCGACGAUCCUUAGCUGGUCUGAGAGGAUGAUCAGCCACACUGGGACUGAGACACGGCCCAGACUACUACGGGAGGCAGCAGUGGGGAAUAUUGGCAAAUGGGCGAAAGCCUGAUCCAGCAAUGCCGCGUGAGUGAUGAAGGCCUUAGGGUUGUAAAGCUCUUUUACCCGGGAUGAUAAUGACAGUACCGGGAGAAUAAGCUCCGGCUAACUCCGUG